rnacentral:tRNA from 2 species
GGGCCCGUAGCUUAGCCUGGUUGGAGCGCGCGGCUGAUAACCGCGAGGUCGGGAGUUCAAAUCUCCUCGGGCCCA